rnacentral:rRNA from 1 species
GGAUGAUGUGGUUUAAUUCGAUGCAACGCGAAAAACCUUACCCACCUUUGACAUGUACGGAAUCCUUUAGAGAUAGAGGAGUGCUCGAAAGAGAGCCGUAACACAGGUGCUGCAUGGCUGUCGUCAGCUCGUGUCGUGAGAUGUUGGGUUAAGUCCCGCAACGAGCGCAACCCUUGCCAUUAGUUGCUACGAAAGGGCACUCUAAUGGGACUGCCGGUGACAAACCGGAGGAAGGUGGGGAUGACGUCAAGUCCUCAUGGCCCUUAUAGGUGGGGCUACACACGUCAUACAAUGGCUGGUACAAAGGGUUGCCAACCCGCGAGGGGGAGCUAAUCCCAUAAAGCCAGUCGUAGUCCGGAUCGCAGUCUGCAACUCGACUGCGUGAAGUCGGAAUCGCUAGUAAUCGUGGAU